rnacentral:lncRNA from 1 species
CUCCUCUGUGCCUCACCCUUGCCCCUUUCUCACACAGUUCCUGCCUGGUGUUCUGUUGUUCUUGCUGUUUCAUGUUUUCAGACAGCGAGUCCUGAGAAGGAGUUAUCCGUUCCCUACACCUGUAGGAUUGUCUCAGGUUUGUUUUGUCUUGGAAAACUCCAGGCCUUCUGCUGUGUUGCCCUCCGAUUGCCUCCUUUCCCGCUCAGCUCGGAAGGUGUCUGUUGAUCAGCUCUGUUCUGGCUGCUGCAGCCCCAGUGCUCUCCAGUGGGAAAAAAUCUUUUUUGCGUGCCGAUGUCCCCCACAGAGCGCUCCUGAAGCACACGUGGCCGUGGAACAAAAUUGCAUACGUCUGUUUCACACCAGGUCAAGCUUUGCACAAAACUCUUUCUCUUGAGG